GGAGGAAUACCCAAGUCCGGUUGAAGGGGUCGGUCUUGAAAACCGAGAGGUCAUGAAAGUGGCGCAGGGGUUCGAAUCCCUUUUCCUCCGCCA
rnacentral:tRNA from 1 species